CGGCGUGCCUAACACAUGCAAGUCGAACGAGAAAAUUUCCUUCGGGGAAUGAGUAAAGUGGCGCAAGGGUGAGUAACACGUGAAUAAUCUGCCUUCGAACCUGGGAUAACUUGACGAAAGUUAAGCUAAUACCGGAUAAGACCACGCUUCACAAGAAGUGCGGCCAAAGGGGUCUCAAACCCUGUUUGAAGAUGAGUUCGCGUACCAUUAGCUUGUUGGUGAGAUAACAGCCCACCAAGGCGACGAUGGUUAGCCGGCCUGAGAGGGUGAUCGGCCACACUGGAACUGAGACACGGUCCAGACUCCUACGGGAGGCAGCAGUGGGGAAUUUUGCGCAAUGGGCGAAAGCCUGACGCAGCAACGCCGCGUGAGCGAUGAAGGCCUUCGGGUCGUAAAGCUCUGUCAAGUGGGAAGAACACAAUGACGGUACCACUAGAGGAAGCCCCGGCUAACUUCGUGCCAGCAGCCGCGGUAAUACGAAGGGGGCAAGCGUUGUUCGGAAUUAUUGGGCGUAAAGCGUGUGUAGGUGGUUUUUCAAGUCAGACGUGUAAGCCCUCGGCUCAACCGAGGAAUUGCG
rnacentral:rRNA from 1 species